GAUGAACGCUGGCGGCGUGCUUAACACAUGCAAGUCGAACGGAAAGGCCCAAGCUUGCUUGGGUACUCGAGUGGCGAACGGGUGAGUAACACGUGGGUGAUCUGCCCUGCACUUCGGGAUAAGCCUGGGAAACUGGGUCUAAUACCGGAUAGGACCACAUUUUGGAUGGUGUGGUGGAAAGUUUUUCGGUGUGGGAUGAGCUCGCGGCCUAUCAGCUUGUUGGUGGGGUAAUGGCCUACCAAGGCGUCGACGGGUAGCCGGCCUGAGAGGGUGUACGGCCACAUUGGGGCUGAGAUACGGCCCAGACUCCUACGGGAGGCAGCAGUGGGGAAUAUUGCACAAUGGGCGCAAGCCUGAUGCAGCGACGCCGCGUGGGGGAUGACGGCCUUCGGGUUGUAAACUCCUUUCGCUAGGGACGAAGCGUUUUUGUGACGGUACCUGGAGAAGAAGCACCGGCUAACUACGUG
rnacentral:rRNA from 1 species